AUCGCUUCUCGGCCUUUUGGCUAAGAUCAAGUGUAGUGAAGUAUAGUUGAUUUAUAAUAUUGUAUUAAUUUUUUCUGUACAACAAAGUGAUUCAAU
ensembl:snRNA U2 U2 spliceosomal RNA